rnacentral:rRNA from 1 species
UACGUAGGGGGCAAGCGUUGUCCGGAAUCAUUGGGCGUAAAGAGCGUGUAGGCGGCCUGGUAAGUCCGCUGUGAAAGUCCAGGGCUCAACCCUGGAAUGCCGGUGGAAACUGUCAGGCUCGAGUCCGGAAGAGGCGAGUGGAAUCCUGGUGUAGCGGUGAAAUGCGCAGAUAUCAGGAGGAACACCAAUGGCGAAGGCAGCUCGCUGGGACGGUACUGACGCUGAGACGCGAAAGCGUGGGGAGCGAACAGG